rnacentral:rRNA from 1 species
GUGCUUAACACAUGCAAGUCGAGCGGAAAGGCCCUUCGGGGUACUCGAGCGGCGAACGGGUGAGUAACACGUGAGCAACCUGCCCCAGGCUUUGGGAUAACCCCGGGAAACCGGGGCUAAUACCGAAUAUUACCUCUGAUCGCAUGGUUGGUGGUGGAAAGUUUUUCGGCUUGGGAUGGGCUCGCGGCCUAUCAGCUUGUUGGUGGGGUGAUGGCCUACCAAGGCGACGACGGGUAGCCGGCCUGAGAGGGCGACCGGCCACACUGGGACUGAGACACGGCCCAGACUCCUACGGGAGGCAGCAGUGGGGAAUAUUGCACAAUGGGCGGAAGCCUGAUGCAGCGACGCCGCGUGAGGGAUGACGGCCUUCGGGUUGUAAACCUCUUUCAGCAGGGACGAAGCGUAAGUGACGGUACCUGCAGAAGAAGCGCCGGCCAACUACGUGCCAGCAGCCGCGGUAAGACGUAGGGCGCGAGCGUUGUCCGGAUUUAUUGGGCGUAAAGAGCUCGUAGGCGGCUUGUCGCGUCGACCGUGAAAACCUGGGGCUCAACUCCAGGCCUGCGGUCGAUACGGGCAGGCUAGAGUUCGGUAGGGGAGACUGGAAUUCCUGGUGUAGCGGUGAAAUGCGCAGAUAUCAGGAGGAACACCGGUGGCGAAGGCGGGUCUCUGGGCCGAUACUGACGCUGAGGAGCGAAAGCGUGGGGAGCGAACAGGAUUAGAUACCCUGGUAGUCCACGCUGUAAACGUUGGGCGCUAGGUGUGGGGGGCCUCUCCGGUUCCCUGUGCCGCAGCUAACGCAUUAAGCGCCCCGCCUGGGGAGUACGGGCGCAAGGCUAAA